rnacentral:rRNA from 1 species
AGCCUGAUCCAGCAAUGCCGCGUGCAGGAAGAAGGCCUUCGGGUUGUAAACUGCUUUUGUCAGGGAAGAAAUCCUCUGGGUUAAUACCUCGGGGGGAUGACGGUACCUGAAGAAUAAGCACCGGCUAACUACGUGCCAGCAGCCGCGGUAAUACGUAGGGUGCGAGCGUUAAUCGGAAUUACUGGGCGUAAAGCGUGCGCAGGCGGUUGUGCAAGACAGGUGUGAAAUCCCCGGGCUUAACCUGGGAACUGCACUUGUGACUGCACGGCUAGAGUACGGUAGAGGGGGAUGGAAUUCCGCGUGUAGCAGUGAAAUGCGUAGAUAUGCGGAGGAACACCGAUGGCGAAGGCAAUCCCCUGGACCUGUACUGACGCUCAUGCACGAAAGCGUGGGGAGCAAACAGGAUUAGAUACCCUGGUAGUCCACGCCCUAAACGAUGUCAACUGGUUGUUGGACGGCUUGCUGUUCAGUAACGAAGCUAACGCGUGAAGUUGACCGCC